UUGGGAUGAAUCGCGAAAAAUAUUUUACAGUAAGCAAGCUAAAAGUUAUAUGAGCAUAUUCCUGAAUGCUCAAGGAGUGCAAUAAGCAUUGUUUCAUGUUUUUAUCUCUAUUCUAUUCAAAGUUACGAAAGUUCAAAUUUGUAACUUGACAUAUGA
rnacentral:lncRNA from 1 species